rnacentral:ncRNA from 1 species
UUCUGCCCAGUGCUCUGAAUGUUAAAGUGAAUAAAUUCAACCAAGCAUGGGUAAAUGGCGGGAGUAACUAUGACUCUCUUAAGGUAGCCAAAUUACUGGCCAUCUAAUUAGUGAUGCACAUGAAUGGA